rfam:Octopus bimaculoides Scaffold1297_contig_424, whole genome shotgun sequence.
AGGGGUCUGGUUUCGAGUGGUGGGUAGAUAUUUAGUUCAAUUGCAUCUAGCACCAUUUGAAAUCAGUACCUCU